rnacentral:rRNA from 1 species
GACGAACUGUGCAAACGUUAUUCGGAAUCACUGGGCUUGAAGAGUGCGUAGGCGGUUUCGUAAGUAGGGCGUGAAAGCCCCCGGCUCAACCGGGGAAUUGCGCCCUAAACUGCGAGGCUGGAGUGAGGUAGGGGUGUGUGGAACUUCCAGUGGAGCGGUGAAAUGUGUUGAUAUUGGAAGGAACGCCGGUGGCGAAAGCGACACACUGGACCUUGUCUGACGCUGAGGCACGAAAGCCAGGGGAGCAAACGGG